CCCUUCGGGGAGCUUGUACAGGUGCUGCAUGGCUGUCGUCAGCUCGUGUCGUGAGAUGUUCGGUUAAGCCCGCUAACGAGCGCAACCCUCGCUGUGUGUUAUAUGUGUCACACGGGACUGCCGGUUUUAAGCCGGAGGAAGGUGGGGAUGACGUCAAGUCAGCAUGGCCUUUAUAUCCUGGGCUACACACACGCUACAAUGGUCGGUACAAUAGGUUGCCAAGCCGCGAGGCGGAGCCAAUCCACAAAGCCGGCCUCAGUUCAGAUUGUAGGCUGCAACUCGCCUGCAUGAAGAUGGAGUUGCUAGUAACCGCAGGUCAGCAAUACUGCGGUGAAUACGUUCCCGGGUCUU
rnacentral:rRNA from 1 species